rnacentral:rRNA from 1 species
GACGAACGCUGGCGGCGUGCCUAAUACAUGCAAGUAGGACGCAGUUGCGAACGGGUGAGUAACGCGUAGGUAACUACCUAUUAGAAGGGGCUAACUAUUGGAAACGAUAGCUAAUACCGCAUACUAGUAGAUGGACCUGCGUUGUGUUAGGUAGUAGGUAGGGUAAUGGCCUACCUAGGCAACGAUACAUAGUCGACCUUGGAGGGUGCUCGGCCACACUGGGUCUGGGACACGGCCCAGACUCCUACGGGAGGCAGGAGUAGGGAAUGUUCGACAAGUGGGGGAACCCUGACCGGGCAACGCCGCCUGAGUGAAGAAGGUUUUCGGAUCGGAAAGCUCUGUUGUUAAGGAAGCGGUACUUAACCAGAAAGGGACGGCUAACUACGUGCCAGCAGCCGCGGUAAUAC